UACAGAGGUGCCAAGCGUUAGGCGGAAUCACUGGGCUUAAAGCGCGUGUAGGUGGACGGGUAAGUAUCUUGUGAAAUCCCACGGCUCAACCGUGGAACUGCUGGAUAUACUGCUUGUCUUGAGGCACUUAGGGGCAGCUGGAACAAAUGGUGGAGCGGUGAAAUGCGUAGAUAUCAGGAGGAACACCAAUAGCGAAGGCAGCACUCUGGUACGUGACUGACGCUGAGACGCGAAAGCGUGGGGAGCAAACAGG
rnacentral:rRNA from 1 species